GAUAGCAUAGCAUAACAUAUAUAGAUAGAGAGAGAGAGUAGAUAUAUAAGUAGAUAACAUGGUUUUCUACUGUAUUUGUGGCGGAUGCAACAACUCCAGCAAAAGUGGACAUAGGGUCCAUUGCUUCCCCAAGGACAAAGGGAUUCUCCGAAGCUGGGUGCAAUUUGUCAAGUUUAGGCGGGCAGAUUUUUCAGCUAGCUCUGUUACCGCGUACUCAAGAAUAUGCAGCGCGCAUUUCAAGGAGGAAGAUUACCACUCAGGGGAUGCCAAGAUGGUCUCACUUGGUUUAAAGAGUAAGAGGACGGCGAAGUUAAUUCCUACCGCCGUGCCGUCUGUGCAUGCAAACCACUCUGCCUGCCCUGUCCCGAGGUCGAGAGACACCGUCUGCCGCAAGCGAGAGAUUGCCACGGUAACAUUGGAUUCCUUGAACCAAGCCGAGUUCAACGCACCCUCGGGACCGACAUCGCCAGGUUGCCAAAUGAGAGAGUGAGAGAGGAGCUGAUCCCUGAAGGGACACAGCAUUAUUUUGACGUGUGGCACAUUGCCAAAAGUCUGGGGAAGGCAUUGGAUGCAGCAUCCAAAGAGUGUGACCAACUACAGUUGUGGAGGCCAGCUAUAGUGAAUCACCUCUAUUGGACUGCAGCCUCAACCCCAGAUGGCAACCCAGCGGUCAUGGAGGCCAAAUGGAGAAGUUUAGUGAACCACAUCCAGGACAUCCAUGACCAUGACACCCCUGCCUUCUCCAGUUGUGCCCAUGGCCCUCUAGACGAAGAUCAGCGCAACAAAGAGUGGCUGGACCCAGGCUCAUUGGCAGCAGUCAAGUUGGAGAACAUAAUGAUGAGGGCAGCCUUACUGAAAGAUGUUCGUCAGCUGUCUCCACAGCACCAGACCUUCUCCCUUGAGGCUUACCACUCCCCCAUCUUGCAUUUCGCGCCCAAGCGCACAGGGUUUUCAUACCUUGGGAUGUAUAGCAGGCUUCUCUUAGCGGCGCUGCAUUAUAAUCACAAUGCCAAUCUCGAGAUAGCACGGAGAAGUGACGGGACGGAGAAGUACUGCGUGCGGUAUCCGCGCUUCAGAAAAGGUGCCCAUGUGGUGCGUCCCAUCAAAGAGGCAGCCUCAUACGGUUAUGCAACAUCAUUAAUGAAGGCCCUUCGGGAGAGCUACGCCAAUUCACCCGCGGUUCUUCGAGAGGUUGGCGCCAAUUUGUCCUCCGAUUUGCAUGUAUCACUGCAUGUAUGCAUGCAUGAAAUAGUGUGUGUGUGUGUGUGUGUGUGUGUGUGUGUGUGUGUGUGUGUGUGUGUGUGUGUGUGUGUGUGUGUGUGUGUGUGUGUGUGUGUGUGUGUGUGUGUGUGUGUGUGUGUGUGUGUGUGAGAGAAAGAGAACCAUCAACUGACCCUCGGGUAACUACACUAUUACAGAAUUAAUUAGAAUUAGAAUUAAACAUUGCGGGUCUAGCCCUUCAUCAGUGUUCCUUGUAUGUUUUGUGCCUAACCAUUUUUUUAUAUAGAUUUAAUUCCAACCCGUGUCUUAGUUCAGUAACCAUUACAAGCAAUGCCAAUCAACUUUUUUUUAUCCAAAAUGCAUGUGGUCUGUGUACUUUAUAACAUUUUAAGGGCAAUUGAAUGAUCACAACAGAAUAAGCAUAACUAUUAUUUUUAUUCAUUUUCAUCCAAACAAGGCCAUUGAAAGCCCUGAUAGGUCUGGUCACCAUUCUGGAAUUGCUGUCUGAUGGUUGAAACCACACAAGAGGGUAGAGGCUUCCUUAUACUCCUCCCUAAAACGCCAUAAGCCCAGAGUGUACCGGUAUUGCCUAGGGAUAAGUAGGAAAGAUUCUUAAGUUUAAAACUCUGUAAGUAGGUUGGAAACGUCAUUUUAAGCCUGUUUCUUAUGCAUGUUUAUUGUGUAUGCAACACAUCUCCUGUCACCUAUAACUGUUGGUUCAAAUGACUCAGUGUAAAAAGAUUUGUAAAGUAAACAUAAACCAUGAACAUACCCGUGCGUGCUGGCUUGAAGGGGAC